rnacentral:rRNA from 1 species
AUGAACGCUGGCGGCGUGCCUAAUACAUGCCCGUCGAGCGCACAGAUGAGGAGCUUGCUCCUCUGACGUUAGCGGCGGACGGGUGAGUAACACGUGGAUAACCUACCUAUAAGACUGGGAUAACUUCGGGAAACCGGAGCUAAUACCGGAUAAUAUAUUGAACCGCAUGGUUCAAUAGUGAAAGACGGUUUUGCUGUCACUUAUAGAUGGAUCCGCGCCGCAUUAGCUAGUUGGUAAGGUAACGGCUUACCAAGGCAACGAUGCGUAGCCGACCUGAGAGGGUGAUCGGCCACACUGGAACCGAGACACGGUCCAGACUCCUACGGGAGGCAGCAGUAGGGAAUCUUCCGCAAUGGGCGAAAGCUUGACGGAGCAACGCCGCGUGAGUGAUGAAGGUCUUCGGAUCGUAAAACUCUGUUAUUAGGGAAGAACAAAUGUGUAAGUAACUAUGCACGUCUUGACGGUACCUAAUCAGAAAGCCACGGCUAACUACGUG